GAACAGAUCUGACACAGUGGACAUCAGCUGACUGAAGGAAGAGGGACCCCCAGGCUGGAAGAUGGAGUACAUGACCCGCAUCAAGUCUUGGGAACUGGGUCUCCCCACAAGCUAUGAGAGAAAGGACAUUUUAGUAAAUGUAAACUUUUAUAGUCUGAUUUUAAAACUAUAACAGCUACAGGUCAACAUCUUUUAUCUGCCAGAACUAAUACAGGCUAAUACACGUGGCAACCUAAAGACGCAUCUCCUUGAAGAGGAUAUCCCUAAAUAAACCCUUAUGUACAGUUGUGGCUGAAUUUGGCAUCCUGGAGGUAAAAAUAAGGAUUAUGGUGAUUUAACCGUACAACUGAAGUUCUGAUGUGAUGGACAAUAAUGAUCCACACACACUUUCCUACCAUCUCUCUUGGAGCUUUCUAAAGAGCUCAAGGGAAGCGAGGAGCUUCCUGGAUGCUAAAAUAAGGGUCUUGAAAGGGGGAGAGGAACUGAGCUUUCUCAAGCAGUCGUACCUCCUGAAGCUUGUCGGACACUGCUGAAAGCACUCGACCCCAGAACUGCAGGUCCAUCCCAGUCGUGUGAUUAUCCAGCACCACGGGCAACUGAACACAGAGAAAAGGAAAGAUUGUUUGAGUUUAUAUGAAACCAAGUUAAAAUGGAAAUGUCGAGGUGGCCCACUCGUUAUAUCAGUAUUUAUAGAUUUAAUUACAUUGAGUACACAAUUUUAAACGUUUUGUCAUUGUAAUACUGUCUUAAAAGUAAUAUUAAAAUACAUUACAUGCACUGUAAAAAAAAUAAAUAAAUGAAUAAAUGUAAAAAACAAAAAAAAAACAAAUAAAAAAAAACAGCAAUUUUCUGGCAGCAUUCAUGUACUUCGAGAGAUGUGGACAUUCACAUGUUGUAAAUCACAACAGAUCCGAAUCUCUGAACUGCAGCACAAACAAACAUGGCGGCGCCCAGAGAUCUAACGAGAUCAUUAUAAAGGUGUUUAAACAACAAAACACAUUCACUUAUAUAUAUUUGACAAUCAGAAUAUCAAAUAUUUCAUGACAUAGUUAACAAGUUUGUGAAUAUUUUGAAUAAAAAAGGAAAAAUGACAAAAGCAAUCCAUCAGUCAUACAGUGCUGAUGUUGCUGCCGUGUGUCACGUGACAAGCAGUAACGCGUCGUCGUGGAAAUAAUAAAUUGAUUAGGCUACUGUUUUUCCUUGAUCUUAAGGUAAUUUUCUGGCAGCAGGGGCGCUAGUAAAUUACUGUUUUUCUACAGUAUGUUGUCAUAAAUUAAUUUACAGUUUAUUACUGUUAAAUUACAGUUCACUCUAUUUGUUUUUUUCAUCUUACGCCUUUAACCCUUCUGACCCCACAACAAAAUCCUGUGUUUAAUGAACACUUCUAGUGUGCACACUACAGAGUGCUAGAGUGUUAGAGUAACAGUGCAGCAGUGUUGAAGUUAAUUAGAUAAUUAAGUGACUAAUUGAGGAUUGAGCAUUACUGAUGAAUACCUGCUGUUAACAUUGAAGGAAAGAGAAACAACAACAGAAAAAAGUCAUAGCCUCAACAUCAGACAUUAAACCUUUUAAGAUCUGAUUAAACAACUCCACAAACAGCAUUACCAGCUUCACUUAUUACUAGACUAACUUUAAUUCUGUCACCAUCAUUGAGAUUCAUAUGCUGAUUCUUGAUGUCUGUGUGUCUGAAUGAUACAGAUGUUCAAAACAUUUUGAGGACAAACUGUUUUUAAAAUGCUUCAUAUUAUCUUAUUGUCAUGACACUGAUGUAGCUAUAUCAUGCUGUAGAAUCACAGAAAUAUCAUAAUCAAAAAUAUAAAACAUCACCCAUAUAAUUAUAGAUUAGAAAAAGAUCAGCGAACCAGGCCAUUUGAUGACUUAAAGCAUUAAUAAACAGCCAAUGUCAUCUGAUCACAUUUUCUUUGUGCUUUUUUCUUAUAACAUGCAUACCUUAAACACACAGUUACAGCAGACAAAGAAAAACUAAUGUUGAAAAGUCAAGGGUCAAGAGCUCAACCAAAGAAAACACCGAUCACCACAAUGGUAACAUUAAAUGAAACAAUAAAGCAUCAACAUUUAAACUUCUGUUAAUUCUCAAGGAGAACUUCUGUAGAUGUUUGACAAAAAUAAAGUCAGUCUGGUUAAUAAUAAAGCUGGUAAUGAAAGUGAAGCUGGUAAUGCUGUUUGUGGAGUUGUUUAAUCAGAUCUUAAUCAAACUUUUCAUUUAUUCUUUCAUCUUUAGUUGAUUUCAUCCAAGGCUGUGACUAAAGUCAGCUGUAGUUCUUGUGUUUCUCUUCCCUUCACUGAUUCUGCUUGUUAACAGCAGGUGUUCAUCAGUGUAAUUCACUGUCUUAAGUGGACUUUAUUAGUAAACUAUGUAUGGAAUAGUGAAUACGGUGUGAUUUGGGACACAGCCUUUGAGUGUCGACUUUGAGAGCUGCUAAUUCACGUAAUAAUGCUCUAGGCUACUUUCUCGAAAACAACAAAUAUUACCCAGAAUACAUUGUGUUGUACAGUAUAUUACUGUUUAUUUAAACUACAGCAAAUAUCUGUAAAACAACAGGUAUUUUAUUGUAUAAUGACAGACCAUUACCUGUAAAAUUACAUUUAUUUUUAACAGUGUAUAUACCACCAUUUAAAGGAUUUUUAAAUGCUUUUAAAAGAAGUCUCGUGGUCACCAAGGCUGUUUUUUUUGUCACAUGAUCCUUCAGAAAUCAUUCUAAUAGACUGCCUAAUGUGAGAGUGAGAUUCCAUCUAUCGUGAUCUACAGCUGCAUCUUCCAAGUCGUCUGGAUUGAUGUCGCUUGUCUUAUUGGCACACAUCUUUGUAGCGAAGUACAUGCUUUCCUGCUGGCCUGGAGCCAGUGGCAAGUUCGCCAUACAGCAGGUCUUUGGGCAUUCGGCUGGUGUUCACGUGUCUCUGGGUGAGCAAGGCAAACAUACUAGGUAUCCCCGCUUGCACGAGAACUUUUGUUUGGAAUGUGGUCUUGCCAGGAGAUGCCCAAAAUCCAUCUUAGGCCCCGUUUACACAAGUGCAUUUUCGUUUUAAAACGCAUCCUUUUUGCUACGGUUACGUCUGUCGUUUACACUACGCCGGCGUUUUCAAACCUCAAAAACACAGACUUUCGAAAGCUCUGCAGACCCUAUUUUAGUUUGAAAAUGCCGGGGUUGCGUUUAAACGGACCAAAAUGGAGACUUUUGAAAAUGAUGGCGCUAGCUCCGCGUAUCCUUGAUGACCGUGUAAACAAUAACAUGGAGCCUGAACUGCAAUCUUUGCUGGCUUUGUUGUCAUUUUUAGCAGCCAUUGUGCAGUUAAACUCAGCAUUUUUUUAAUACUGCAGCUGCCUACAUGCGCAAGAGGCUACUGUUUACAGUUGUACGCGCAUGCCUGUGUUCAUUAACGGCCAUGUGACAUGCGUUUUCGGUCAUGUAGUGUAGACGGAGAUCAUUUCUGAAACGCUGUGGAAACACCGGUGUAGACCAGGAUUGUUUUCAUUUUAAAACAAAAACACACUAGUGUAAACGGACCUUUAGAGAUGGAAGACAUUGACUUUAUGUUCUUUCUAGGAAUACAGGGUUCAUGUGUUGAGUACAUUAAUAUGCAACUAUCAUUGAUUUACUGCAUGUUGAUUUAUUAUUAAUAACACUGGUCUACAAUUUUUUACAAUUCAUCUGCUUCAGAGAUAAAAGGGGCUAUUUAUUAAUAUGUAUUUUGAUGUGCUGAAU